rnacentral:rRNA from 1 species
UACGUAGGGUGCAAGCGUUGUCCGGAAUUACUGGGCGUAAAGCGUGCGCAGGCGGUUUUGUAAGUCUGUCGUGAAAGCCCCGGGCUCAACCUGGGAAUUGCGAUGGAGACUGCAAGGCUUGAAUCUGGCAGAGGGGGGUAGAAUUCCACGUGUAGCAGUGAAAUGCGUAGAGAUGUGGAGGAACACCGAUGGCGAAGGCAGCCCCCUGGGUCAAGAUUGACGCUCAUGCACGAAAGCGUGGGGAGCAAACAGG